CAGCAGCCGCGGUAAUACCAGCUCUUCGAAUGGUCGGGACGUUUAUUGGGCUUAAAGCGUCCGUAGCCUGUUUAGCAAGUUUUUGGUAAAAUCAGAUAGCUUAACUAUCUAAAAGCUAGAAAUACUACUUCACUAGGGGGCGGGAGAGGUCUGAGGUACUGCUUGGGUAGCGGUGAAAUGCGUUAAUCCUUGUGGGACCACCAAUGGCGAAGGCGUCAGACUGGAACGCGCUCGACGGUGAGGGACGAAAGCCAGGGGAGCGAACCGGAUUAGAUACCCGGGUAGUCCUGGCCGUAAACGAUGCGUGCUAGGUGUUGGUAUAGCUAUGAGCUGUAUCAGUGCCGUAGGGAAACCGAUAAGCGGGCCGCCUGGAUAGUACGUUCGCAAGAUUAAAACCUAAAGGAAUUGACGGGGGAGCACUACAAGGGGUGAAACCUGCGGUUUAAUUGGACUCAACGCCGGGAAUCUUACCUGGGUUCUAAGUAGAAUGAAGGUCAGGCUGACUACCUUACCGGACGAAAUUAAGGGUGGUGCAUGGCCGUCGUCAGUUCGUGCUGCGAAGUGUUCUGUUAAGUCAGGCAACGAACGAGAUCCACACUUUUAGUUGCCAGCAAAAGGCUUUGGCCUUGUUGGGAACGCUAAAGGGACUGCCAUCAUCUAGAUGGAGGAAGGUGUGGGCUACGGCAGGUCAGUAUGCCCCUCGAAACCAGGGCUACACGCGGGUUGCAAUGGUAUAUACAGCGAGAUGCAACUCUGAAAAGAGAAGCCAAUCCCUAAAACAUAUCUCAGUUGGAAUUGAGGGCUGUAACUCGCCCUCAUGAACGUGGAAUCCCUAGUAAUCGCAUGUCAACAUCGUGCGGUGAAUACGUCUCUGCUCCUUGUGCACACAGCCCGUCAAACGCGCCGAGGAUGAUAUAACCAAGUGUUCUCCUUUGGAGUAUAACGAGUUAUAGAAUUCAAGGGGUGUUAAGUCGUAACAAGGUAACCGUA
rnacentral:rRNA from 1 species